AAAGGGGGCAAGAGAGGGGGAAAAUAUUAAAGGGCUUAAAGCGUUAGUAGCUGGCUUGUUAAGUCUCUGGGGAAAUCUUCCGGCUCAACCGGAAGGCGUCUCAGGGAUACUGGCAGGCUAGGGACCGGAAGAGGUGAGAGGUACUCCAGGGGUAGGAGUGAAAUCCUGUAAUCCUUGGGGGACCACCUGUGGCGAAGGCGUCUCACCAGGACGGCUCCGACAGUGAGGAACGAAAGCUGGGGGAGCAAACCG
rnacentral:rRNA from 1 species